rfam:Dipodomys ordii contig_8524, whole genome shotgun sequence.
GGUGGCUCAGUGGUAGAGCUCAUGCCUUGUAUGCCAGAGGCCCUGGGUUCAAUUCCCCAGCACCA